UACGAAGGGGGCUAGCGUUGUUCGGAAUUACUGGGCGUAAAGCGCGUGUAGGCGGCUUUGCAAGUCGGGUGUGAAAGCCCCGGGCUCAACCUGGGAAUUGCAUUCGAGACUGUGUAGCUAGGGUGCGGAAGAGGGAAGCGGAAUUUCCGGUGUAGCGGUGAAAUGCGUAGAUAUCGGAAGGAACAUCAGUGGCGAAAGCGGCUUCCUGGUCCAGCACCGACGUUCAGGCACGAAAGCGUGGGGAGCAAACAGG
rnacentral:rRNA from 1 species